GCAUGAGCCCCAGCACCCCAACGUGGGGCCGGACACAGCUUCCGCCACCCAGGUCCCAGGGCAGCCCUGCUCUCGCAUUUGUGUUGGCGUUCUCACGGGCCUUUUGUUGUGGUUGUGGUCUUUUGUUUUUUUAAUAACCUUCUUAUUCACACAUGGUUCAUAAGUCUCAUAGAGUUUAUUCAUUUGAAGUAUGUAUACAGUGGUUUUCUGUAUAUUCACAGAGUUGUGCAACCAUCAUCACCUCUGUCUAGUUCCAGAACUUUCCAUGACCCCUAAAGAAGCUCCAUUCCCACCAGCCGUUACUUCUCACUCCCUUCCCUGCCCUGGCACCCACGCAUCCCCUUCCUGUCUCUGGAUCAGUGUGUCCUGGACAUUUCAUAGAAAUGGGGUCAUACACCGUGUGGUCUUUUGUGUGUGGCGUCUCACUGAGUGUGAUGUCCUCAAGGUGCAUCCACACUAUGGCUUGGGUCAGAGCCUGGUUCCUGUUCGUGGCCGGGUCAUGUUCCAGUGCGUGGACAGGUCACCCUCUGCUGACCCCGUUCCUCCGCGGAUGGGCCACACUGUGCUGACCCACUCAUCUGUUGAUAGCCACUUGGGCCGCUUCCCCUUUGUGGUGACACAGUGUGCCGCUUUGAACAUCUGUGCAGUGCGCGUGGAUGUGUGUGUUCCCUCUCGGAUGUGCACAUGGGCGUGGGGUUGCUGCGUCAAGUGUGGUGUCCUCACUGGUUUGCCCUGCAUGGCUCCCUGGUCGGUGGGGACCGUUCCCCGGGCUGCUUUGGCGCUUGCCGCCAACCAGAGACGGCCCCAGCCUCUGCUGGGCCUGGUCUGGCCUGAGCUUGUCCCGGUAGGCCUGAGGCGUGGCUGGUCCUGCCAUCCCACCCAGGCACGUGGGACCCUCAGCCUGAGCAGCCCUGCUGUGAUCCUGACCUCACACUGUGAUGGGGGCGUGCUGGAGCAGCCUGGGCACUGAAGCCGACCCUCCUCUUGCUCCAGAAAUCUCCCAAGCCUAAGAAGAAGCAGCACAGGAAGGAGAAGGAGGAGCGGACCAAAGGCAAGAAGAAGUCCAAGAAGCAGCCUCCAGGCAGCGAGGAGGCGGCGGGGGAGCCGGUGCAGAAUGGCGCGCCAGAGGAGGAGCAGCUCCCGGUGAGGGGUACUUCAGCGCCCCCGCCCCGCGCCGGGGUUCCUGGCGGGCUGUGCGCUGCUCCCCACUCCUGCAGCCUCCAUGCGGGAGAGAACUGAGCAGAUUCGAGAAGAAGCCGAGCCUGGCGGGCGCAGGGGACUGGCCCUGGCCCGCAGCCCCACGUUAGGCACCCCCGUGGUGGGCUGUGUGGUCCUGGGAGCCGGGGAUCCCUCAUUGGCUCCUUUGAAGCCCCUUGCCCCAAGCAUUCUUGGAGUCGUGGCAUUCAACCUGGGGUAUUGGGCCGUACUGGAGUCUUCGUUGAGACGGAGCUCGGGGCCCCCAAGGCUGAUGCGCCUUUUCUAUUUCCAGCCUGAGUCCAGCUACUCCCUCCUCGCUGAAAAUUCCUAUGUUAAAAUGGUGAGUGGCAGCCGCUCCCGGGGGCAGGGUGGGCCAGCCCACACUCUUUGGCAUGGGAUCGCGUGGAACCCGGGCAGCCCCCACAGCUCCCGGAUGUUGGUAUACCCAGGGCCUGUGAUCCCUGGCAGGGGCGUUGCUUGGGCAGCACCUCUGGCUUGGGGUAAGGUUGGAGACAUGCCCUGAGACUUGGACUGGCAGGAGGGUCCCCGCCAUGCACUCAAAGAGCAGCCAUAGGAGGCGCUUGGGCUGCGGCUAGGGGGCGCCCCUCUCCGUGCCUUCCUGUGCCUGUGGGACCCCUGCUGCCUCUGUGGUCCUUAAGAGACAGGUGGCUGUGCCUGUUCCCUGUGGCGGGCCCGCCUGCCCUGCUAACACUGGCCAUGCCCUGCAGACCUGUGACAUCCGGGGCAGUCUGCAGGAGGACAGCCAGGUCACUGUGGCCAUCGUGCUGGAGAACAGGAGCAGCAGCAUCCUCAAGGGCAUGGAGCUCAGCGUGCUGGACUCACUCAAUGCCAGGAUGGCCCGGCCGCAGGGCUCCUCUGUCCACGAUGGCGUCCCCGUGCCUUUCCAGCUGCCCCCAGGCGUCUCCAACGAAGCCCAGUAUGUGUUCACCAUCCAGAGCAUCGUCAUGGCGCAGAAGCUCAAGGGGACCCUGUCCUUCAUUGCCAAGAAUGACGAGGGUGCGACCCACGAGAAGCUGGACUUCAGGCUGCACUUCAGCUGCAGCUCCUACUUGAUCACCACUCCCUGCUACAGGUGGGGCCCAGGCCCACUCCCCUAUGUCCCCGAACCCCCUCCGCCUCCCCUCUACCUUGCAGACACCUGUGCCCCGGGGACUGAGGCUUCUGGGCAGGACUUUAGAGACGGAUUUGGAGGCGCUGGCUCGUGACUGGUGCAGGUCAGGCUGCCUGGUGUCUGCGCCAGCCGGGGCCAUGCAGUUGAAGCCACAGGCCAGUCAGCGUCACCCAUAGAGGUCCAGGCUCCUGGAAGUCCUGAAGGCUGGAGGGGUGAGGCCAAGGAGCCAGUAGGGCGGGCUCCUCCUGAAGCCUCUCCUCAGCACGGCUUGGCGUGCGGCACCCCCUGCCCCCUGAGUCCUCACAGGCCGUCCUCUGCGUGCCUGCAUCCUAGCCUAUCCCCCCAGUCCCUUCCUAUAGGACAUCCGUCCUUGUCGGAGGAGGGCCCAUCCCAUGGCUUCAGGCACCUCUGUGACCUCUUUAAAGACAAGUCAUUGUCAGUUUCUGGGUUUGAUGGCUUCCGCACAUGAAAAUGAGCCACACCUUCCAGGACCCCCAAGACCUCCCGGCCCAGACACACAGGAGGGUGUCCAGGCGCGGCGUGUGUGGCAGGUUUUGUUGGCCUCUGUGCCAGGAAGCCUGAGGAGCCUGGCCCCACCGCAGUCAGCCUCCCUGUCCCUCCCACAGUGACGCCUUUGCUAAGUUGCUGGAGUCUGGGGACUUGAGCAUGAGCUCAAUCAAAGUCGAUGGCAUUCGGAUGUCCUUCCAGAAUCUUCUGGCGAAGAUCUGUUUUCACCACCAUUUUUCUGUUGUGGAGCGAGUGGACUCCUGCGCCUCCAUGUACAGCCGCUCCAUCCAGGGCCACCAUGUCUGCCUCCUGGUGAAAAAGGGUGAGAACUCUGUCUCAGUCGACGGGAAGUGCAGUGACUCCACGCUACUGAGCAACUUGUUAGAAGAGAUGAAGGCGACGCUGGCCAAGUGUUGAGAGCUGCCUGCGAGCCCCGCACCACCCCGCGGAGCACGUACCCAGGGACCGCAGCCCUGACGUGUCUCGCCUCUCCUCGGUCGUGUGUACUGUACCCAAGCCUGAGUGUUAAUUUAACUCCAUGUUGUCCGCCGUGUAGACAUCCGAGGUCAUUUGUUGCGUUGAAUUAUCUGACCAUCCUUUUUUACUGUGACUCUUCCCAUUCUCUUUGGCAAGAAGUCCCCUUCUCGCCCCCAAACCAGCAAGGGACUCCCCCACCUGGGUCUGUGCCCUGCCCCGCGCUGGGGGCCGAGUCCUUGAAUGUGGCUUCAGGGGCUCCUGUCCUGGGCCAGGGCCUGAUGGGCACCACGUGAGGGGCACUUGGUGGACAGGGCGGGGCUGACGUGGCGUCCUCUGGGGUCGCCUGCUUUUGACCCAAAGGUCCUGACGGUUGCGUCCGGGGGAGGGGAAGGAAGGGCCGCUGUCGCCAAGGUUUUCUCUCCCAGAACCCACAGUGGGAAAGCGGUCUUGCCAGGCGUUGUCCAUCGUCAGUGUGCUCGUGGGCUGGUGGCUGGGUCUUGGGAUCCCAGGCCACGCGCCAGCCAGGCUGUGGGCAGGGCGGGGCCAGGGACGCCAAAGAGAGGUUGCAGUCAGAACCGUGGACGGGGUGGGUUGAGGCCUCUCUGCCACCCGUCUUCCUGGUCAGCAGAAGUGCAUCUCGGCUUGGGUUUGGGGUGGGCGUGUGUGGUCCGCAUCCCCUGCUUGCCACUGUGCGCACCAAGGUUUCCCCACAUCCUUCCCAGCACCCUUAGGAAGGCCCGGGCAGGGCCUGGAAGCAGCGGACCUGGGCUGUUCUGUGUUGAAGGAGUGUGCCCAGUGCCCUUGGGCAGGACCUGUGAGAGCCACCUCACAGGCAGAGCCCCCACCAGGCAGGGCAAGGAGACUCCGCUCACUCCCCACGGCCAACGUGGGCACAGGACUGACCCUUCUUCAGAGAUAAUGACAUUUUAUCUUUUCCUUUGGAUGAAAACUGUCACUUUAGCAUGUAAUCCAUUACAGAAUCCCAUGCAGUGAUUCCAGGAUUUGAAAUUGUAUGAUGUGUUACAUAAGAAUGUAUUUGCUAUCGACAUUCCCGUAUAAAGAGAGAGACAUAUCACGCUGCUGUCAUGAUUUUGUGUCAAGAUGAUCCAAUAAAGUUGUAAAACAGGC
rnacentral:sRNA from 1 species